UAGUGUUCUUUUUUCUCUCAGAUCUUUCCUACAAGAUAUAGUGGGUCUGUGUGUCUGUGAUAUUUUCCUUAAUUUAAACCUUCUUCAAGACCUCUUAAUUUUACCUUCUAUGUUAUAUAAAUUCAAUACACAUAUUCUUAACACAAUCAGUGCAUCAGAGUUUUUUUUUUUUUAAUAGAAUUAGACUCUGAAACUUUGUAUACAUAAUGUAUCCUAACUCCUAUUUAAGUUAAACCCUUGUGUGGCUAAAGGCAUAUGACAUCAAACCACAAUAUAUAUGUUACAAAUAUCCAUGUAUAUAAUAUUCUGGCAAAAAUGUCUUUGAUUCACAUAGCAGAUUCUGUUGAAUGACUUCUGUGACUGCGGAGCAUAGAGGAGCAGGAGUUUAUAAAUACUGAUCCCUUGAGAUAGACCGGUAGCAUUGAUAUAACUUAAGACUUGGUUGGUGGUCCAGCAAAAGUGACUAACAUAACAGAAAAGACCAUCUUUGCCUUUCCUUCCUCCUUUCCUCCAAACACUACAGAGAAAUAAUGAACCACUGUACUGAAAAUGUGCAAGCACAUUCUGUAUUCCUGAGGUUAUCUUUGGCAUUUUACAACUGAACUUAGGCUAUUCACUGUGGACAUAAUUUUAAGGUGGUGGAGCUCUGUAUGAAUGAACUCACCUCCAAGAUGGCUAAACAGCAUUUAGAAAAUUCCCUCUCCUAGACAUAGGAAGGAUUUCUGUUUGGGAACAUGUAUUCCCACCAGACCGGUUUACUUAUUUGAGGAUUCAGACCUUAUGGCUCUCUGAAAAAGAAAUUACUCUGGAGAGAAUCAGUAUGAGAUAGUGAAUCAGUAUGAGAUGGGUUCCAGCAAGGGAAUAAACGAGGUAAUAGCCUUCUUUAUCAUUAGUAUUUAUUCAGAGAGCCAUUUGGAGUGUUAUAGCCAAUGUCUGCCAUCACCCUCCCCAAAAUAGAAAAAGAGGCAGUACGGGACAAAGCACUCCCCUACAGAGAGGCCGCCUAUUCUUUUGGGAGUUCUAAUACUUCAAAUGAGUUCUCACCAGUACAGCCCAACAGCUCCCAGGGCAUUCCUAACAAUUUUCUGGGUGGCAGUUUACAUUUAUCAACAAUUGCUGUGAGAACUCAAAAUUGAGAAAAGUAUAAAAUUAGAAAUAUAAUACUUGUUAGAUUGAUCAACCGCCUUAGGGACUAUAGCAUCACGAUUUUUCUUCCCAAACCCAUACAGGUUUUAGAAGAAAAGUUAAUAAAACAAGAAUAAAAAUCAUAAGGAUUGGAAAAGUUCUUCAAAAUAGAAAUAAAUUAUAUCCUGACUAUGGCAGCAAAGGGUAUAGGGGAGUGGGGGCUGAUGAAUAUAAAGGGAUGUGUCCCAGGGCAUUCCAGCAAGUGAAGGGUCACAUUAAGCAAAGCCUGGGAACUGUCUUUCAAGUAGGCAUUAUCAGUAUUAAUAAGUGAAGAGAUUGUGGUUGGGGCAGGUCAGCCUCUUGGCAGAACCUCACGGUAUUAGAACACAGAAGAGACUUUUAUUUUUAGCUUUACUGUCUCAGAAACUUAAUUUUGCCAGGGCACACAGUCUGGUCACAUUUAGGGAGACUGACAAAAGCUAAUCAAAGUUAGGGGAAACUAACAUGUAAAAGCCCAGAGUAUUCAUAAAAGGCAUAUGGAGUUUAUACAUUUUCAAACAUCAUCUCUUACUCCGAUGGAAAUAUGUGCAUUGGUCCAUGCUCUGAAAGUAAAACUGUGUGGAAAGAUGAUUUUACUAAGUAAGAAGGUGGGCCUGUUCCCUGCUUUGCCAUUUCUCUGUGAAAUGAUGGUGCCAUCAGAAUUUGAAGUGUCUACUUUCCUAGACCAGGUACAAAGUUUGAAAUAAAAUCUGCUAGGAGAAGACUUAAAAAGGCAAUUUUCUUUCCACUUUGAUAUUCAAAUGAGCCAUGUGCAGAUUUCAGCCUUUCUCUAUCUUUCUUUAAUAAGAUGGUAGGAAAUGAGUUAUGGUGAUUUUUUUUUUUUUCCACUGUUGGUUAUCUAAAACACUAGAAUUUGCGGUCCUUUACGUUUCCCUUUGACCAGUCAUGACAUUAGCAAUGCUUUGCCCGUGUAUGAGGCAGUAUCUUUAUCAUUCAGUAGUUUUGGUUUUUAUUAGCAGCGAUUGCUAUUUUGCCAUGUGGCGCCCCCUAACCCCUGAAGGGGUACAGAUCUGUGAGUUCUGAGUCUGAGGUGCUGGUUUUACCAGGAUAAGCUAGGGAUCCUGGCAGACCUACUAAUUCACUUGCAGAGCCUCCGCAAUUCACUCCUAUCCCUGGGAGACAGAACAUUCUGUGUUGGUACAAGGCCAAGAAGCCCACAGCUGUGACUAAUCAGCUGGUAUGUUCCCUCAGGCUCUUCCAGAGAAAUUGAGGUGGGUGGAAGUGUGCAUGCUGAAAAUUUGGGUGCAUAUUUUAUGUUUCUCGGUGUCCUCUGGAUGAGGGUACAAGGGCAAAGUAAUAAAGAAUUGUCUUUCGCAUUUCAUGGACAGCAUCACCUUAAACCUAGAUAGGGGCACUGAUCCUAGUCUCCUCGAUUUCAGAAAAGCUUUAUUUGUAAUUUUUAAAGUAUUUUUGUGGUUGUUUCAAAUAGUCAUUUUUAAAGUUCUGUGGGGGUUUUGCUUAACUUGGCAGAUUCAAAAUCAAAAGGCUUAUAACAAGCUUUAUAACAACUCAAAAAUAGCGAGAUCUAAAAUGCUUGAACUUUUUUCUAAGUGGCAUCUCUUAAUAAUGCAAUACAUUUCAAAAUAUAGUUGCUAAGAUUUUCAUAAUCAUCCUAGGAAUGCAAUAUUUCUGUGGGAUAUAUAGAGCAGAAACCAAGAAGUUUUCCUAAGAUGAGGAUUUAUCUAUAGCUUUGAAUGUAAUUUUUUAUUCUCAAGAAAAUGUAACAGGAACAGGAGAAUUGGGGGCCCCCAUAGAGGACAUGUCUGGGCAAAAAUAUCUUCAUUUGUUAAGUUGUUUACAUGUUUAUAGCAAGCCUUGCUCUCAGAAGCAGGCAGAGAAUUCCUACUCAACCAAAUUUUGCCUUUGCACAAUCAUUCUUAGCAUUCUUAGUUUCUGAGUAAGCAAGAAGAAAUUAUAUAUUCAUUUAAAAUUUGUUAUUUGGCUUACUCUGACUAGGGAUAUAUUCAGCUAUGAUUUUUUAAAUCCAUUGAUUAUUUAAAAAACAAAGUUUUGCCAAUUCUUUAGAAAUGUUAAAAAACAAUUUGGGGAGUAGGAAAAUAUUGAGCUAUGAAAGAUAGGAUAGGGAGAAGUAGAAGGGGGGAAAAUUAGAGGUUAUUUUCUGUAGUUAGUACAUUUCUCUUUGAAGAAAUAAUUCUGAACAAAAAAAAGUGGCUUCCCUUAAGCACAUGAAAGGUGCCCAGAUUUUAUCUAAUAUUAAAAAUCAUGACAUGUGUCUGAUGGCUGUCAGGAUUCUGAGAAAAUAUUAACUUUCAUUUUAUGGCAAUGCUCUGCCACUACAAAUUUUACAUUUAACAGAGUCCAUUUCUUCAUCUUGCCUUCAUAGUCUCUGAAUUCAAGAUUUAUUGCUCUGAUGUCAAUCACAUAUGCUUUAUUUUCUGAGUCCUUGCCUCACCUGACUGUCUAUAGUCCCUAGAAGACAGGAUACCAAUAACACUGGUGAAUGUUUAUGAAGGCUUGACAAGUGAAGGAGGAAAAAUUUAGCUGGGGUCAAUUUGGGUGGAGCAUUAGUGGCAAUUGAGAGAGUUCUAGGUCAUGAUGCUUCUGGGUCAUGCUGUCUCAUCUACAGAGAAUGGCUGUGGCCAGAAGGAGAUCUCUUCAAACAGCACACGUAUCAGGAGAGGAUAGAAGUAGUCGUUACAAUGCUGGGGAAAUAACAACAGCUUUUAUGGGGGUGGGGGUAAGCAAUAGUGCAAUAUUGGCAUUUUACGAGAAAAGUAAGCAUGAUUUAUUUAAUAAAAUUAUCCAAGCUAAUUCAUUAUUUUUUCAAAUACAUUUAAAAAUGUAUUCAUGGUGAAGUUAUGAAAAAAAUAUAAAGCUUCAACAAAAGUAUCAUGUAAAUAUAAACUACUGGCUACAAAAUGAUACCUCUAGGCUCUGCUGUUUGCUUGGACUCCAUUCCUCUCCAUCCUGGGACCAAUGAGAUCCUCAGAGCUAUAACCUCCCAUGUGGUCAGCCCACUUGGCUUUCCAUAUCUUCCUGUCAUUUAGCUCCCCUGAGUGGAGUUGUCACUAAUAAUAGCCUCUGGGUAGCUCAUCUGCUCUACCAGAGCAGGUUUAUUUCAGCAGUCUUAUUUCUUUGCCUGCCAUUUCCAAAGAAGUGGUCAUGGCCCUAGUCUCUUCCUUCUCAGCUGAGGCAUCUGCUUGUGCAGUUCACUCCUCCGGCCAGGUCUGUCCCAGGCUUUUUGUGUGGGGUUGUGCUGCAGGAGAUCAGUGACAAAGAAUGGGAAGAACCGCUUGUAGUGAGUAUGUCAGAAAAGGAGAUGAGGCAGGAAGCGGAAGAGGAGGCGAUUAGAGACAGAGAGAAAGAUGGCCAAGUUGCUGACCAAUGUCUCAAACAUUUGCAUGACCACAACAAAAGCACCAGUGUUUCAGUUUUUAAAAAUAGCAAUGUAAAACGUGGUGGUUUUCAAUCUUGGCUGCACAUUGGGAAACAUUUUAAAAAUAUUGAUGCUUGGGUUGCAUGCCCUCUGCCCCCCCUGGCCCCCGAUUUAAUUGUUCUGGGUUGUGGCUUUCUCAUUAAAAGUUUUAAAAUCUUCCAAGAAAGUUCCAACAUGCAGCCAAUGUUAAGAACCUUGGGUAUAAAUGAAUACGAGGAUUUUGAAAAUCAGUAUUAAAUCAGUAAAUGGGAAGUGAAGCUCUACCUUCCCUUUAACCAAAGGGAAACAGGCUCAUCUUUAAGGAGCAUCUUCCAUGUGCCAGGCAUGGUGUUGAGUACUGUUAUCUUUUUAAUUUUUAAGUAAUACCGUGAAGUGAGAAGUUAACCCACUUUAAAAGGUGAAGAAUGGAGGUUUAGAGAGGAAAAGUAAUUCGCCCAAGGUGACAGUGUUGUGGAGUUUAAAUUAGCAGCUGGGUCUCAAUCCCAGGUCAAUAUGAUUCCUCUAUUUUCUUCCCUUUCCUUUAAGACACAGUUGUAAAGGGUAGUUUAUCAUAGAUUGGCUUGAUAUAAGGCAGAUCUUUUCUGCCUUAUAUCUAGGGAUAAGAAAUCGAUCUGUUCUAAUCACUGUAAUCUGUAAGACUGCUCAAAAUCAGGGGUCAUCAAAUUAUUAACCACUCUCUGGUUUUGAGUGGUUUGUGAAGUAAGAAUGGUUGAAAAAAAUUGAAGACGGGUAUUUCAUGGCCCAUGAAGAUGGUAUGAGAUUCAAAAUUUCAUGACCACAGAUAAAGUUUUAUUGGAACACAGCCAUGCUUAUCCAUCAUGUUUUAUCUGUGGCUGUUUUCACAUCACAGCAGCAAGGUUGAGAGUACUGGUGAAAGAGACUAUAUGAAGAACACAGCCUAAAAUAUUAAGCGUUUAGCCUUUUGCAAAAAAAUAAAUACUUGUUGAUGUCUGCUUUAAAGUAAACCCUGAUAGAGAAAUCUUAAUGAAAAAACUGAUAUACUAUAGAGAAUGCUUGUUCAUAUUAAAACAUACAUAACAAUAUAAAACAACAUGCAGUUAUUUGAAGGUGUAAACUACCCUAGUGCAUUUAAGUGUUGGUUUAAAAGUUGUUAGUUGGCCUUGGGGGUUGAUGUUUAUAUAAAUGUAAAGCAAAAGCACCUUGAACCAUUAUUCACUGAAGAUUAGUCCCAGAAAAAGGUAAAACCUUUACAAAUGAUGUCACUGGCAACUCAGGAUUAAUCAUGGUAACCCCAUUUAUUUUCAGCUUUACUUGUAAAUUAAGUAAAUCACUGCAUAAUUCUGUUUCUAUUUUUGCAUUAAAUUUCUUUUUCCAGAAUUUUUAUUUUUUUUUAAUAUUGAUAUAUAUACAUCAGUGUUCUCAGAAAUAUAUCCACCCAGUAAUAUGCUAUCUUUGCUGUAACAACUGUCCCAGAGUUUCUCAAAAUAUGUUCCUUGGAUCACAUGCCUUAGAAUGACCUAGGAUUCUCGUUUUAAAUACAGAUUCCAGGGUCUCAGCCCAGACCUACUGAUUCAGAACCUCUGAGGACAGGAUUCUGCCUUUUCUCAGGCUCCUAAGUUGAAUCUCAUGCAUCCUGUAGAGUGAGAAGCCCGUGCUACACAUGGG
rnacentral:lncRNA from 1 species